AUGGGAUUUUUCAAGUCAGAAACAGAUCUGUGGGUUCGGAGGGCUGACCUACAACAUGCACCAUGGCUUUCUUUGCGGUCAAAUUCUGCAGUAACCUGUAAAACUUGUUUGCAGGUUGGAAGUGGCCACCUGACACUGUGGAGCGCUGGCACCGAUGAAAUCUUUCAACAUGGAAGCUCUUCAUCACCAAGGCAUCUGAUGACUGGAUCACAGCAAAGCAUCUGAGAAGUCAUUUGUGUUGGUUCCUUGGAUGAGCUUUCAUGAGCAUAUUGAAAUGAAAACAAAGCCACAGAAAGAACAGAAAAAGUCUUGAACUUCAUUCUCUUCAUUGUUUCUCCAUAGCCUAGCAAUUAUUCACGAGAUAAUGACUGAAUAUUAAUAUACAUGGCAAAACAUGUUUCCAUUAAUAUUUGUGAAUGAGCUACAAUUAUGAAACUGGUUUGCUGUGUCUGAUUUUUUGCCAAACCUCUUCCAGGCGGACUAUUUUUGUCAUGGGAAUUGGCCAUAAACAUUUUACGCUUAAGCAUAAAUUUAAGAUAAUUCAUUCUGGCUUUAUAUCAGUAUAUCUCAUUUUAGCUCGUGGCAUUUUCCUUAUUUAAAACAGUACAAAUCUCAGCAGCAUCUGACUUAGUAAAGUGAACCAUGGAAAGUGAGAGUCAUACUUUUUUAACAAAAAAACUGUCUGCCUAUGUCAGUACUAUUGAAAAAUGUUUGUGUCAUAAUAGUGCAUAAAUAAUAAUUAAAUCUUAGUCUGCUGCAAGGGAUUUCAAUCAUUAUUUCUGUAGCUUUUUUUCCCCAUUUUUCUCACACAAUUUGUAUAAUUUUUUUAUACUGAGCAACUUUUAAAAGAGUAAAUGUAUUUGCAUAUAUAAGUCAAAUUUAGAAAUGAGAAACAUGAGAAAGCUUUUUCAUGGAAACAGCAUCAGGAAAUUGUGGAGAAAUAAAUAUUAUAUCUCAUCUCUGACCA
rnacentral:lncRNA from 1 species